CUGCUUCCGCCGGGCCUCCCAGAACAGCGUUUGGCACCUCGUUGAGGUUUCCCCUGCCGCCCUCCUCUCCGCACAGGGACGCGCCCUGGUUCUGCGGUGGAGACGGGGCGCCGGGAUGCUCGUGAGAAGCGAGCCGGAGGGACAGGCCCCCUGGAGGGGCACGCAUAGCUGUGUGCUGGACAAAUAAAUGGCCGUCUGAGCUCGAGCUUCUCUCCCCUGCACGGGCCGGGCGAGUGGGCGGCUGCUUCUCUUUCUGGACUCUGCGCCCCGGAGGCCAGUGUGCUGCCCAUGCCCGUCUGUGUCCUGGUAUGCAGCAGGUGCUCGGGCCUUUGCGAGUGCUGCCCUCCUGCCUGGACAUCUCUUCCAGGCUGGCCGCUUUUCUUCCAGGGCCUUGGCUUCCCCAUCACCUCCUCAGAGAGGCCCCUGGCUGCCGCAUCGAGCUGCAGCCCUCAGAUGGCGGUGAUGGUUGCACAACUCUGCACUGAAGGCCGCGGAAUUGCACGCUUUACACGGGUGCAUUCAUGCAAUGCGGAUUACGUCGCAUUUUAAAACCUGAGAGGUCGUCAGACAAACCCAAGUUGAUGCCCGCUCUGCAAACCCGGUGACUCAUGCUCCUCGAAUCCGGCCAGGCUGGGGAAGGCGGGAGGACCGCACGGGUUGCAGGAGACCAAGAUGACCGAGGGCCAUGUGGGUCCCCGAACAGAAAAAGGACAUUGGGGAACGAAUGAACCAAGUCUGUAGUUUAGUUCGUGGUCUUGCACCGAAGUGAAUUUCUUAGUUUUGAUGAAUUACUGUCAUGUACGAUUGAUAUCAGGGGAAGCUGGGUGAGAGAUGCGAGAACUCAUACUAUCUUUGCACAUUUUCUGUAAGUCUAAAAUUAUUUCAAAAUACAAAGUUAAACAAACAAACACAGGAGACAGAAAUGACAAGAGAGCGACCCAGGGGUGGAAAAGCUGCCCAGGCCCCAGCAGGAUCCAGCCCUGGGCUGGGGGGAGCCUGGGGUCCUAGUCCUCUGCCCACUACUGCCAAAGAGGCUCCUGGAGCCCCUGGGGAGGGCGACACCUCCGGCUCCACGGCCACGAACCCCGGGGCCUGCCAGUAGCGGCUGUGGAAAAUUCAGGGCAGUGCCUCUCGUUGCUCAUCUAAGGGGCCCAGCGGUGGCCAGGGCAGCCCGGGGGCUCCCCUCCACCCAUGACUGUGCCCCAACACGUCCGCUGAUGCCCCGACCCCUGACACUGCAGCCCUCAGUGCUGGCCGCCAACUUGCAAGGCUCCCAGCGUCCCGCAGGGAGGGAGACACCAAGAGCCCGCUUGGCUGUGAAAAGAGCAAAGCAGCAGCCCCAUGCUGGGACUGGGGCCGCUUCCCAGGGAGCCCAGCACAGGACAUGCAGGUCUGUUUUCUGUCUCCCUUGCUGGACUCUGGGCUCCUGGGGGGAAAAUGCUAAUUUUUAUUUCCCUGGAACCAGCCCUGAACUAGGCACUUAGUUGGUGCUCAAUUAAUGCUCAUGAGUUUCCAAGACACCUUACUCACUGGGUGUCAGCCAAAAAACAGCGCUCUCUAAUCCAAUGCUUUCUAGCUUUUUAAAGCAAUCAAGUCUACGUUUUAGUAAUGAAAUUAGAAAACUUCAUAGAAUAAUACAAUGACCCCCUCCUGCCACUGCCCAGAAUUAACCGUUACCCAGAACGAGACGUUCAGAGUCAGUCACAUUGGCCGCUGAUCCUUUCUUGCUUUAAGAAAUAAAGUGUUACAGAUGCAGCUAAAUUCUGCUGUAACUCCCACCUCCCCUAGAGCCAAGCUCGGUGGGUGGGGCGCCGCCUCCCGCCCUGGGGUCCCCCUCUGUACGCAUGGGCAGGGUCAGUCUGCGGCCUUGUCGACACCUCACAGGCGAGCGCCUCAUCCUGUGUGAACGGCUCUGAUUGUGUGUUUUCUGGUGACAACGUUUAGGAUCGCUGAUGGCAGUCAUGGACAGGGAUCUAUCCUUGUAGGUGGAGCCCCUGCCCCCCGCCCACCCCUGUGCGUCCACCACCUCCUGGUGCGGCCGGGCAGUUGCCCCAGCACGUGUGAUCCUCUGCUGUCUCCGGCUGGAAAUUCUUAACGGGGCCCAGCGUUUUCCUUUUGCCCUCGGCCACACCAACCGUGUAGCGGUUCUGACAACGUGGACACUACCGAGCCCUCGCCUGUGCCAGGCCAUGGGCUAGGCCAGCCGGCUGCAUGAACCGUCUCGAGGAAUCUUCCCAAAGGCUCUGUGAGAGGCCCGCUCCCAUCAGCUUUCUGCAGGUGGGGAAACUGAGGCUCAGAGAGCUCCUGGCUUGGGAGCCCUUGCUGAACCACCACAUGACACCCACUGUGAAAAUCGAAUCCGGUCCAAGCUCCUUUCUUUUACCACCGAGGUGCAGACCGGUUCCGGCAGCUCAGCAGACACGGCCCGGGGGACGCAGAGCCAGGUUCUGGGCCAUCCCCACGGCCGGGAGCCAGAGGCUCCAUCCUGGUGCUGCCGCCUGGCCGGACGGCUGAAUUCAUUGCACCACUUUUCCUUCAGCCACAUUUCCUCUCCCCGGGGAACUGUCUCAACGAGAGUGUUGAGUGACCCUCGAGAGCUGGAAACUCAAGUUCGAAGUGUGGGCGACAUUCAAGAUGCGGGCGGCCAGUUCAGCCAGCCCGGGCGCCGCUGCACAGUGAACUCCCGUCUGCUAGGCUGUUCCAGACCCGUCUUCCACAGCAAGCCCGUGUGGUGGCAAGACCCCCGGCGGCAGGGAUGUUUGGUUGGGAACCGGCCCCGCCCCCUGUGGUUGACGACGACUUUGGGGUCCUCGCAGGUUCCGGGUGAGGGAUGACCUGAGAAAGAGGUGCUGGCAUCUUGCCGACACAGCGCCUGGGAGCCUCAGUGAGGAAGGAGCAAGGAGGGACCGUCGCCUGGAAUCCUAACUUGUGGAGGCGUUUAUUCUGACCCGUCAGUUUGGAAGGAGAGGUUCCUGGCCCCCAGGGCUCCGGGGAGAGUUGCUGCGGGACUGCACCUGCUGCACCUCGGCCUCACUGGCUGGCUUCUUGCUCCAGGAAAUGCAGCCCAUUCCUCUGGUCCCUCCGUUCUUCCUACCCCCCCCCCCCCCCCCCCCCCCCCCCCCCCCCCCCCCGCCUCAGUGCCUGCAACCCCAGCCCCGGAAGGGUUUCCUCCAUGGGGGGUGCUCUGAGGACGCUCAGGGGAAUGGAAGGCAGGCAAUGGGGGGUGGGGGCAGAGACUGUCACUGCCUUCCCAAGCUGCAGCCUCUCUCGUCCCCCCUUCCUGCUCGGAAGAUGCUUCCAGCGUGCACCUGCCAGGAACUGUUGCAGAUGCCGUCUGAGAAACCUUCAAAGGAGCGGAACAAAACGUUUAUCCCUGAGGAAACGUCGACAGUUAACUGUUACCUGGGAGAAUGCACAGUCUGGCAGGCAGAGCAACAGGUGCACACGAGAGCUGCUCUACAGGCCGAUGAAGUUAGAAAACAAGUAUAAAAUGAUAAAACCCAGUGUUGGCAGGGAUGUGGGGAAAAUGACACAUCAGCUUCGCUGUAAACAGAUUCAGAUGCUGAAGAUCACUGUGUCUGUGUGAAACAAGGGCUGUGACACUGCACGUACCCUCCAACCCAGCGUUUCAUCUUUUGGCAAAACAUUUUUGUCCUCAGGGACAGAAACAUGCAUAGUGGAGUUAUUUGAAAGUGGGAGAUGGAAAAACCAAAAAUCGAAAAACUCAGAUGCCCCGUGCUAACAUUUGUGGAGCGCUCACACUGUUUGAAAUGCUGAACGUGAUUACUCUUUAAUCCUUACAGCCGCUCUGCAUCUGUGUGUUUAUGAGGCCCUGAGUCAGCCCUUCCCCCGAGGUCCCUCAGGAGGUGAGCGGCAGGGCUGAGGGCUGAACCCAGGCGGCACCACCUCAAACUCGAUGGCAGUGGGGGGUCUCCGCCCCACGCAGUUGCUCGGUAACAUGAAGGCAGAAUUGCCCACCAGAGAGAGGGUGACCUGCAGCUCCGUGGGGUGUGCGGUCACCAGGGUGCGGCCUGGAGACAAAAGGGCUCCUUUGUGCUUCUGCCUGGCGGUAAACACCAGCCACUGCCCGGCAGGCAUGCCCCAGCCUGCGGCUCUGGAAUGUGGGCGAGCCACCAUCCUGACGACCGGCCACUGGUGGCUGGUCUCGAGGUGGCCAGGCCCGGCCUGCAGACCCAGCCACCCGCGCUCUGUGUGUGCCCGAGGAAGGAGCCCAGCCCUUCACACCGCCUCGAUGGACGCUGAGCAGUUGAAGUGAUGCCCAGAACCCCAGUGUCCGCUCUGGGCAGAAGCACCGGUGGCCUCGAGGGUGGAAGUGCUGGAAGGAUGGCGACAGCUCCAGGCAGCUGCGGCUUCAAGGAGGCUGAGACUGUGGAGAUGCUCUGCCUCCUGAGAAGGGGACGGGAGGGGACACAUCCUGGUGGCACGUCCGAGGCUGGUUUUAGCCUGGUGCCUGCGUCUUUACAGCCGGUCCCCCAGCUGCUCAGCCCCUGCUUAGCAGAGCGAGGGCAGGGCUCCGGCUCCGAGCCGCGGGCAGGCAGCGGCGUUUACUGCGUGACUUAUCUCCCACGUGCUCGUUUUCGGAGUCGUCUUCUCUUGGUGGCAGUGACACUCCUUUUCCAUUUACAUGGAUCACAGAGAAUUUUCUUUUAAAAUAAACUUAAGUAAAAAAAAAUAAGGUGAGUCAUUUUGAAUAAAAAUAUGAAGCAAAUGGUAGAUGGAUGGAGAUGGUCGGAGUCAUAGAGGUGGCCCCCAAGGGUCUGGAGUUUGGGAUUCGCAGACAAGGGCCUUCCUGGGUCCCUGGCAAGACGGGCUGGGCAGGCAAACGCCCGGAGGUGCGGGUCUCACCAGCCCCUCGCCCGGCGCUCCUCUGUCCCCACGUCCCGGUAGCUGAUUCUUAGUCUCUGGGACCUUUGGCCUCCUCUCCCUUUCUCCCCUCUCUCUCUUCUUCCCUCCUUCUCCGUGUCCCCAAGUCACGUCCGGGGAAGCAUCCUACAGAUCCAGCGCAACCCUUUGGCUGCCCUCUUGGUCUGAGGGCUUCCUUUUGGGGAGGGGGGUGCCCCGGGUGUCAGCUCUCACUGCCCCGUUCUCCUCUCCUUUGUUCGUCCAAUCAAUGCACCAGUUUCCACAAGGUGCCCUGGCUGACCCCACCCGGCCAAUGAAAUGAGCCUCGCCGACGGGCCUGGCGGGAACCGGUGCGUCUGAGGGCUCCCUGGGUGACUCCGGUGAGCGUCGCGGCGGGAACCUGGCCUGCAGCCUCCUCCCUCAAACUCAUUCGUCCCUCUCCCCGUCAACUUGGCCGCCCCCCCGACCCUGCCCAGUGGCGCAGACCUGUCGUUCUCCAGCCGGAUCUUCCCCGCCUGGGCCGUCUGGUUAAAAUGCAGGCUCUGGUGCCAGUCAGGGGGCCUGAGGUCCUGCAUCUCCAACCCACGUUGCUGACGCUGCCAGGAUCUCAUGCUCGGAUCGGUCGGGGUGUAGACGAACUUUCUGUCUGGACAGACGGUAAGUACCCUCAGUUUUGUGGGCCAUCCCGUUUCUGUUGAAAUGACUCAGCUCUGUGGUCAUGGCACCGAAGCAGCCCUCAACUGUACACACACGGCUGGGUGCCCACGAAGCUUCAUUUACGAAUUCAGGUGUUGGGCGGGUUUGGCGCUAGUUUGCCGACCCCUGGUGUAGACCAUGUUCUCUGUGGUCGGCCUUGGUGGACACCACCGCUCACCCCUCAGGAGCCCUCUGCGGCAGACCGUUAUCUUCCUCUCUGUGCCGCCGAGGAGUGGGCUGAGGCUCAGAGAGGGUCAGCCAUUUGUCCCAGGUCACACAGCCAGCAAGUGCCAAAGUUGGGACUGAAACCCAGCUCUUCUGGUUGCAAAGCCCGUAUGGCCUGGCCACAGCGAGUCACCAAAGCCCUUUGAGCCUCAGUUUCCCCACAGGCUGUCUCGAGAAGGCACUCUUCAGACUCUCUCUGCAGCAGUCACUGCCUCCCAGGGUCAGUGGGAGGUUAAAUACGGUAGUGAUUGGCACACAAGUGCUAGGAGGUUUUUCAUUCAUUCAGUGAGUGUUAGUUUGCUUGCUGAGAUGGUGACAGGAAAGGGAACUAGACAGAGGCCUCCCAUGGGGCCUGUGGGUCGUGGCCUUCCUCGUAAUUCUCCAGGGCCCCCCGAAGGAGGCCUCCUGAGCAGGUGCAGGGUGCCUUCCUGCCUCCCUCUGGGGGUCUGGCUCCCGUCGUCCUGGCCAGGGCUCUCCCCUGGACACAGCCUGCUUCCCCCCCGAUCCCCGUGGUCUGACUGCACGCACUUUCAGUCUCAGGUCGGCGUUUGUCAGCUCCGCCUAGGCCCUCCUGACAACACUCUCCUGCAGGGAGCCUGGCAUCUCUGUCAGUCUGGGGGUCAUUUUGGCGUGGCUGGACAGGCGAUGGAGAGCACGGAAGCCAUGCUCCUGUCCCCUGACUAUAACUCUUUUUUGUGUUCACGAAGGACCCUGGUCUCCCCCAUGCUUCUGUUCAGUCACCUUAGUGUGUUAGUUUUUAGUCCUUUUUACCAGUUGCUUCCUGAUCACAAAAUGGCUGCCACUGCUCCAGCCUCUUGACCUCACAGCAGCAGCACAAGCAGGACAGCAGGGAGAAAGCUUACAUCUCAUUGACUAGAACUGGGUCACGUCGCUGCUACUAGCUGCAAAGGAGGCUGAGAAGGCAAGAAUCUGGCAGAGGGCAAUGGGGCGGCUGUGACUAGACCAGUCGUGAUUCGUCCCCAGGUGCAGGGGAUGUUGCUGGUCCAACCAAACUGAUGUUUUGCUAGCAAGGAAGAAAUGGGGAGUGGCUUUCGAGAGGGCAGCCCAGAGUGAGUGUGACAGGGGCCAGAGAGGUUGGAGAGCAGAGUGUGAGGGAAUCAUGGUGGUGGAGAGGCUGGAGGCCAGGCCCCACGGGGCCUCACGGACCAUCCUAGGGUUGUUUGUAUCUCAAGGGCAAUGGGGAGCCAUUGAAGAGUUUGGGGCCAAGGCAGGUAGCAUGAGAGGAUUUGUGUGUCCAAGAGAAGUGACUCGGAUGGUGGUCCUGAGUCCUCUGAGGGGGCUGCCCGUGCCCCGAAUGGCUUCACAAAGGAAGCUCCGGAUGAUGGAGCCUAACCCCAGACCUCGGAGACUCCAGGAAACCAUCCAAGCCAGGCCUCUGGCGGCAGAGACCUGUCUCCAUGCCUGGGCCGAGGCGGGAGCCACCAGACACGCCUCCCUCCUGCAGGGAUCCCGUGUCCUCACGGGGGCCCAGGUCCCAGGACUGGCCAGACGAGCCAACGCUGCGGGAUUUGAGGACAGGCGCGGGGACCCGUCCCUCUGUCUGGAGCUUAGCAGGGAGCCAGGGGUGAGAGGAUGACCCUGCGGUGACGAUGGUCCUUGCCAGCCGGCCAGGCACUGGGCUGAACUCGCCGUGCGUCAUCCUUCAGUCGCCAUGACGACUGUGGGAUGCGGCUUAGGGAGCCAGUGUCAUGGUCACCGGGAGUCACCCCGUCCGGGCCCUGGGGAAGAACUCCUGGGGUGUGAACUCGCUUAGUGCUCGCAAGAGCCCAGAACCCUCUCCAACUCCCCGCUCCCUUCCCCCUCUGCCCCCGCCAUAUCCCAUCCGUCAGCUUGACUUGGAAAGUAUCUCCAGAAUCAGACCUUCCCCUCCUGCCCUGCUCCCAGCCUGGGCCCAGCCAUGCUCGCCUCCUGUCGGAUCAUUGCGUCCUCCCUCACACAGUGAGACAGAUCCUUUAAAACCUUCACUGCGAUCCUGUCCUCACUCUGCUUGAAACCCUCCAGCGGCUUCUCAUCCCCUGCACAACCAGAGCCCUGCCCACCUCUGCAUGCCUGCCUCCUACCACUUCUUCUGCUCCAGCCUUUCCAACCUCAUCCUGCCUCAGGGCCUUUGCACUGGCUGUUCCCUCGAACAGGCUGUUCCCUCAGGCCCAAAGUGCUCUUCUCCCUGAAAUCAGAACAGCUUGCUCCCUCUUUUCAUUCGGGUUCUGCUCAAAUGCCCUCUCCUCGAAGGUAGCAGGCUCCCUCCUCGUUAAAGGGGACCGCCCCCCUCACGCUCUGUUCCCUCCCCCAACAGAGGGCUAUGUUUUGGGUCUUUGUGCUCCCACCCAGAAUAUAGACUCCAGGCAGGGAUUUCUGUGGGUUCUGUUCUCUGCCGUAUCUUCAGCGUCUAGAUCAGUGUCUGCCCAGUGUAGGAGCCUAACAGAAAUUUCUUAGGUAAACGACCAACCUGCGAGGUGGGUACUGUUGUCAUCCCCACGUGGUAGGUGCAGAACAGACCCAGACAGGUCCGGCAACUUGCCCAGGGCCAAGGGACCUUCAGGCCAGGGAGCCUAGAGUUGGGCCCUCAGGGGCUGACCCCAGAGCCCUUGCAUGCCACCCCUGCAGGGCGCUGUCUCCUGUGUUACGCAUGGGCCUGAAGCAGGUGGUUCUGGGCUCAAAUCCUUGCUCUACAGUUCCCAGCUGUGUGACCUGGGGCAGCUGUCUCAAACUCUCUGGGCUCUGCUCCUUGUCUGCACAGAGUGAGCAGCCCUUCCUGCCGAGGGUGCACAGCUCUGAACAGAGCUUGGCAUCCGCGAAGCUGGGCUAUGGCUGCCUAUCGUGGCUCUCCCAUUUAGGAGGCGGGGCGACUGGGGCCCAGAAGAUGCUUGAGGUCACAGGCCUCCGGAUUGGAGGGCAGGUCCGGCCACUCCCUCGCCCCACCCCCCAGCGGCAGCCCCACCCUCCCUCGGUCCUGCCAGCGGUCAUUGGCCUUGACAGAGGGGGCUGCCCUGUGCUUUCCCCUGGCCUCUCCUGGUUGGGGUGGAGGGGGUAUGGGUCAAGGAAGGGCUCCGGCCAGCCACUCCCCUCUCCCAGCUCCUGGUGGCGCUGGGCCACCUGCAGGGCGAGCCACUAACUGUCCUGGUCGCCCGGAGGCAGGACCCUCGGGGCUAAAACCAGGAGAGGCCCAGGCAGACCCAAGUAGGUUGGUGUUUGUGAGGUUGGAUGAAGUGACAAAGACGGAUGAGUCAGGACACUAGCAGGACUCGGAGACUGGCGGCCCUGCCGAUGGUGACCCCCCCUGGGCGCCCCUCCAUGCCCCUCGUCCUCCCUGCACCCUCGGGCCCCCCCUGGGUGUGGUGGGUACCAGAUCAGGAAGCCGAGGCCCGGGAGGGUCGGUCCCAGCCCGGUCGCCCCGAGCUUCUGACCCGGACCUGCGUCCCUCUCCCAGGCCCAGUGCCCGCGCGCCCUCCGCUCGCUCCCGCAGAGCUGCCAGUCACAUGCCCCGGGGGAGGGCGGGUGGGUGACUCCCCGCGCUGGAGGCUCCAGCACACUCUCAGCACCGUCAGAUAGGCCCCUGCCAGGCUCCUACAGGAACGCGGGGCCUCAGCGCCAGUGCCCAGCCCCCCGCUGGGGACAACCCCUCCAGGAGGGCGGGCGGGUGGCCACCGCCUCUCCUCGGCCAUAUAUGGACAGGAGCCGGGACCCUGCAGCCCGGUGGCGAUCAGGGCUGCCACCACCUCGGCCGACCCGGCAUCUCGGGCUCCCUGGGGCCGCAGCCUUGGCCGUAGGGCAGGGCUGGCGAGGAGGCUGGGGACAGGCGAGCUGCGGGCGGCGGAGGCUCGGCGGCGUGGGCCUCCCGGUCCCAGGAGCUCCGGCCAGGCAGCGGGCGCGGGCUCUGACCAAAUAAGGCCUGGCCCACGGGCCUGCGGCCUCCCCUCCUCCCAGCCCAGCCAGCCGCCUGGACGCUGGCCCUGUGGCUCGAAGGGGAGUCCCCCUGAGAAGCACCCCCAGGAGAGGAGCCUCCGUUUAGAACUUCUGGAAUGUUCCAUUUGGAACCUUCAGAAGGCUCCAUCUACAAUCUUGAGAGAAGGCCAGGUGCAGACAGAUUCCGGGAACUCCCACAGCCCCACGGGAGCCCCAGCCAGCCCCAGGGCACCAGCCGCAUCCAUCCCCGCUGUGAGCACACCCACCCCAGUCCCCAUGCCCCGGGGGGUUCUGCUCUUGGACUCCGUUGGCAGGUCCCAGGCACACUGGUCAGACCCUUGCCGGCGCCUGGGCUGUGGGGUCGAGGGCAAGGCUGGCCGAGGGAGGGGCCCUGGGCUCUCGAGAUCACUGGGGGCCCCUGGGCAGUGACCUGUCCCCACCUGUGCCUGUGAGCCGGUGAGUGACCUGUCCCCACCUGUCCCUGUGAGGGCCAGUGUGAGCCCUGGAGGGAGGACGUGCCCCUCUGAACCAGCUGGAGCCCCACCUGGGGAGCAAACCCCUGCAGGUGAGGAACAGGAGGGGGCAAGCCCACGGGGGGCCAGGGCGAGGUGGGCUGAGGCUUGUCACAUGUCAGGAGCCUCUGAGGGGCUUGGAGCUCCCGGGUCUGCCUGCCUUCGUGCCUUGGUUCCAGCGGGCGACUUUGCUUCCUGGAGCCUCAGUUUUGCCAUCCUUAAAAUAGGCGUAACACAGACCUGAGCUCGGGGACGGCUGCGGGGACCCCGCGGGUACAGUGCGGAGGGCCCUGCAGAGAGCUAUGGGAGGACUAAGCGGGAUCCCGGGCGAGGGGGGCACCCCUGGUUUCCAGGGAGACUGGGGGAGGUAGGGGUGCUCCCUUGGCCCCAACACCCCCUCCAGGCUUUUCUCGGCCCUCCCUGCUUUCUCCUCAGCCUAGCGGUGCUGGGGUGGCAUUUCGAGGUCUCCCGAGCCACCCGCACAGCAGGAAGCUUGUGGCCAGGGUGACAGCUGUCAUACAUGUAAACAUGCAUGUGUGUGCAUGUGCAGGGGCACCCGUGAGGCCCCGUGAGCACAGCCGUGCGAGGUGAGCACGUGCAGGAGUGAGUGCCCGGGCCCUGGUGUGGGAGUCGGGACGUGGGGCUAUUUGCGGUUUCUGCUGCUGCCCGUUUCUGAAGGCUUUUCAGGAGUUCUAGGAUCUCAGGGGUGGGGCAGAAUUAGGGCCCCCGUGCAAAAGGGGAAUGUGUGACCCCACGUUCAAAACGUACCAAGACUGUGAAGACGGCCACAGCAGGGCAUUAAACCGAGGUUGGGGCCUCCUGAGUGUGGGGGCCCAGUGCGAGCCCCCGGGCCCUUCCCGCUCCCUGGGGCGUGGGGGUGUGUGUGACCUGGCCGGGCCCAUGGACACUCCAGCCCGCAGCGGUGGUAGGACCCGCAGGAAGGGUCUGGAAAGUCUAUGAAAGAGACACCCUGGUUCCCAUCUUGGGAGCAGCCGGGAGCCACGUGGGGACAGGACACACAGCCUAAGGCAAGUGUCUCCCAGCCUCUCUGUUGAAGCCCAGGGUCAGGGUCGUCCCUGCGGACCGGAGGCUGGCAAGCUGGCGCAGCGCCUGCUUUUAGCCAGCCUGGCAGGACGCUGUGGGCGGGGGGCCUGGGCAGAGCUGGGGAGCCUGGGGGUGGACGGCAGGACGGCCGAGGGCCCCAGGGCCUCUCCUCGGGACAGGAACAGGAGGCUGCCCCCUGGGGUUCCUGCAAGGGGCUUGGGGCUCCCCCGACAGCUGCGGCCUUGGACCCUGGCCCCAGGGGUGCACUCUGCUGGAAAGUUCUCUGCGGUCUCCAGAAGCACCCACCCAGGCGUGGGAACCUGCCCCGUGGAACUUGGGGCUGUUCUGCUGGAACCUCAGGGACUGGGUCCGAAGCUUGGGGACCCCACCUGGUCCCGAGCUCUGAGCGCCCUCAGGGUGGGGUGGGCCUGGCUCACGCGGAGGGGUCUCCCAGAGCCUGGCACAGCGCCGGCACAGCAGGGACACACAGCCUUCCUGUGGGGCUGGAGAAAAUGGACACGUCCAGCCAAUGCCAUCAGACCACGCGUCCGUGUCGCCAGAUGCCUCUGCUGGGGCUGCCAAGAUGGCAACCAGUGCACCGUCUGGCUUCGACGCUGCGUAUUAACGGGCAGCCUGGUGAUGCACGUCCGCCCGCCCAUGUUUCGAUGUGGGAAAAAGGUCUUUUCUCCGAGGGCCUGGGAGUCUGCGAUGGGCUUCCCCGGUCUCUCUUGCAUGAACCACAUGCCCAGUGCAUCUCUUGCCUUUUGCAGUUUCUGUUUCUUUAAAGUGGGGAGAGAAGGAAUAUGUUCCCAGAGACACCCAACUGGAGAGCUCCUGGGCAGACUUCAAUGCUCUAAGGCUCUUUCUGAUGACACUGGCCCCACCUGGAGAGUCCGGGGUGAUCUCUCCAUGAGGUCAGCUGCUUGGGUCGCUGAGUCCCGGGCGUCACGCCCAGCGCGGUGGCUGCAGGGAACAGCACCGCAGCGCAUGUGGAAAAGCAGCUGAGGGCAGAGCCUGAAGUCCUCACCACAGGGAAAAAGCAGAACGUGUUAUAACCGUGUCCGUGAGGGAUGUCAGCUUUCAGACUUACUGUGGUGAUCGCUUCACAGCGCACACAAACAGCGAACCGUGAUGUCCCACACCUGAAACUAACACAACGUCAGGUGUCAGUUAUACCUCAAUGGAAAUAAGGAAUGGAUCAGUCAAAAUAAACAAAGAUUUCCUCGAUAAAAACUGAAACGUCCACAACUAGAAGGACCUGCAACUAAAAUUUACAACUACGCACUGGGGGCCUUUGGGGAGAGAAGAAGAAGAAGGAAAAAAACACUCGAAACAUCAAAUGAGUAGAAAUCGAAAAAAAAAACCCCACCAUCUUUAAAUGUUCCUUAAACGUGGGUCACUCCAAUUUGCUUUGCAUUUCACUUAUUCUAUGAUUUCUCACGGGUUUCUUUAUCUUCUUUCCUGCCCACGUGACGCCACAGCCCUAUGACCCUCCAAUCCAUGCAUAUGAAACUGUCACAUAUACCAACUUUCCUAAUGUUUAAAAUUAGGAAAAAAAAUAAAAUCUAGUGUGAUCUGUGGAAACCAAAGGUCAGCUGUUUACUAACCUCGACUCGAGCUGCGGCCUAAGGCCUCUGAGCCGUGUAACCAACACGGUCCCAGGUUCUGGGGACCGGGGCGUGGACGUCUUUGGCGGACUGUUAUUCUGCUUUCCACGCUUGCUUAUUUGAUCUUUUCCAUCACACGCACUUACCAAAUGACAUUAUAUAUUCAUUUGUGAGAUUCUCUGUUUUCUGUCUGUGCCCUUCCCAAGACCAGGGGGUUGGAGGGACUGAGUACAAAUUCCCUGAACAAACAGCAGGACCAGAGUUUGAACCUGCACCUCUGUGUCCUUAUUUAUCAACGAAGGGGGCUGGAUGCUCAGUUCCUCCCCUGCCACUAUCAGGGCUACUGUGUCCAGUUGCACAGGUUGUGCACUGCACAACUGGUUGUGGACUCCAGGCCUCAGCUCACACCUCAAACUCUGUGGUCCUUGCAGUUGGGUAGAGUCCAGACUUUAGGCCCAUGGGCCAUGGCUCUGUUCCUGAACCUGGAACCUUGGAACCUGCGUUCUCAACCUUGACUGCCCUUAGAGUCAUCCAAAGCUUUUAUAAUCCUAAUGCCUAGGCCAUGCCCCCAGACCACUUGCUUCAGAAUCUCUGGACUGGGUCCAGACACCUGCAUUUUUAAUGCUCCCCAGGUGAUUCCUGGGUUGGGCUGAGGAGGUGCCUUCCUCCAGCAGAGUCAGAGAGUCAGAGAGCU
ensembl:lncRNA